ensembl:lncRNA
GUUUGGCAUGAACGGAAACAUCACCUCACAUUUCUACAGGUGUGCGAUCGAGAGCUUGCUGACGAGCUGCAUUACAGUUUGGUACGAAGCUGCUCUGCCAGCUUCCUUCCAAGAUUUCCUUUAUCUAUUCACAACUCCAUGGUUUACCCCCGACCUGCGUCAUCUUAAAGCUCAUUGUUUCAGCCAAAUCCAAUUGCUACUCUGGUUCAAUCAGUUCUAAUGAAGAUAUCCACCGUCAACUUAACUCUGCAGGAGCUUCUGACUCUGAAGUAGACUUCCUGUUUCCCCCACCGUCUUCCUGUCAGUUAUUUUAAGUUUUACUCUUCCCUCCAUAACUGACGUAUCCAAUCUUAUUUAAAAAUCCAAAUCAUCCACCUGUCAACUUGACCCUCUUCCCACUGUGUUAGUUAAAGCCUGUCUUCCCUCGUUA